rnacentral:tRNA from 1 species
GCAAAUAUAGUUUAACGAAAAACAUUAGAUUGUGAGUCUAAAUAUAGAAGUUUAAACCUUCUUAUAUGCC